rnacentral:lncRNA from 1 species
UCCUCUCUCUCUCUCUCUCUAUCUAUUUCUCUCCUGACUCAAAGAAGGAAUACUUCGUUGAGGUUCGACACUCCUGUCUCCAUAAUCUCCAUCGGUGUCCGCCUCGGAAGGAAGAAGGGUUUGGUAUACUGAACCGCGGAGAAGUUUAAGAGGAAAGCAAUCGAAAAAUCGAGAAGCCUAAUCAAUUUUGAUCGUAUGUUUAGUGUAACGCAAAUCAUGAAGUCGACGUGUGACGCGGAUCCACUAGGUAGGAGCAAACACGAUUCUGUGCCACGUAGCAAAAGAGAAUGACGUUAGGAGGGGCCUUUAUGCACCCGAGCGAGAGCAUCCCGCGGUGCACUCGCUCUGACGCGCGACAAC